rnacentral:rRNA from 1 species
GAUGAACGCUGGCGGCGUGCCUAAUACAUGCAAGUCGAGCGAAGCGGGGACGGGUGAGUAACACGUGGAUAACCUCCUUUAAGACUGGGAUAACUUCGGGAAACCGGAGCUAACCCGGUUACUUAUAACAGGAUCCGCGCUGCAUUAGCUAGUUGGUAGGGUAACGGCUUACAAAGGCAACGAGGCAUAGCCGACCUGAGAGGGUGAUCGGCCACACUGGAACUGAGACACGGUCCAGACGCCUACGGGAGGAAGCAGUAGGGAAUCUUCCGCAAGGGGCGAAAGCCUGACGGAGCAACGCCGCGUGAGUGAUGAAGGUCUUCGGAUCGUAAAACUCUGUUAUUAGGGAAGCGGUACCUAAUCAGAAAGUCACGGCUAACUACGUGCCAGCAGCCGCGGUAAUUC